GGCGGACGGGUGAGUAACACGUGGGCAACCUGCCUAUGAGACUGGGAUAACUCCGGGAAACCGGGGCUAAUACCGGAUAAUUCUUUUCUACUCAUGUAGGAAAGCUGAAAGAUGGUUUCGGCUAUCACUCAUACAUGGGCCCGCGGCGCAUUAGCUAGUUGGUGAGGUAAUGGCUCACCAAGGCGACGAUGCGUAGCCGACCUGAGAGGGUGAUCGGCCACACUGGGACUGAGACACGGCCCAGACUCCUACGGGAGGCAGCAGUAGGGAAUCUUCCGCAAUGGACGAAAGUCUGACGGAGCAACGCCGCGUGAGUGAUGAAGGUUUUCGGAUCGUAAAACUCUGUUGUUAGGGAAGAACAAGUACCGGAGUAACUGCCGGUACCUUGACGGUACCUAACCAGAAAGCCACGGCUAACUACGUGCCAGCAGCCGCGGUAAUACGUAGGUGGCAAGCGUUGUCCGGAAUUAUUGGGCGUAAAGCGCGCGCAGGUGGUCUCUUAAGUCUGAUGUGAAAGCCCCCGGCUCAACCGGGGAGGGUCAUUGGAAACUGGGAGACUUGAGUGCAGGAGAGAAGAGUGGAAUUCCACGUGUAGCGGUGAAAUGCGUAGAGAUGUGGAGGAACACCAGUGGCGAAGG
rnacentral:rRNA from 1 species